rnacentral:ncRNA from 1 species
UCUCCCUCAGGAUAGCUGGCGCUCGUCUCAUCCCAGUUUUAUCCAGUAAAGCGAAUGAUUAGAGGUCUUGGGGCCGAAACAAUCUCAACCUAUUCUCAAACUUUAAAUGGGUAAGAAGCCCAGCUCGCUGGCUUGGAGCUGGGCGUGGAAUGCGAGCAUGUCUAGUGUGCCACUUUCAGUAAGCAGUACUGGUGCUGGGGGUUGAACCU